GAUAAACGGUUCAUUAAUUUUUAUUUAAAAGUAUUAUUAAGAUUUUUAAAUUUAUUAAAAUGUUCAAGAAACUUCUUACAUUACUAUUAUUAACGUUUGCAGUAGUUGAAUUGCAUGCGGCGGCAGCUGGCAUUCGAAAUGCUGUAUUGCCCAUAGUCAUUAAAAAAACAAUCACAAAUUGCAAAUAUGUUGAUCACAAUCAAAAAUGUGUAACGGUGGAAACUAGAAAAUCGCCAUAUUACCAGAUUCAAACAGAUCUAAAGCCAUUUACUGCACUAAGGACUAUGACAACUACAACAGAAAAACCCUUGUAUAUGGGAUUUUGGAAUUAUUUAUUUUCAGGCAAAUAAAUAAAUACUUAAAAAAAUUUAAUUUGUAAAAUAAAAAAUAAAACAAGACCCUAUACUGAGUAAAUAAGUAAAACAAA